rnacentral:rRNA from 1 species
UACGUAGGGCGCGAGCGUUGUCCGGAAUCAUUGGGCGUAAAGAGCUCGUAGGCGGCCUGUCGCGUCUGCUGUGAAAUCCCGCGGCUCAACCGCGGGCCUGCAUUCGAUACGGGCAGGCUAGAGUUCGGUAGGGGAGACUGGAAUUCCUGGUGUAGCGGUGAAAUGCGCAGAUAUCAGGAGGAACACCGAUGGCGAAGGCAGGUCUCUGGGCCGAUACUGACGCUGAGGAGCGAAAGCGUGGGGAGCGAACAGG